UACGAAGGGGGCAAGCGUUGUUCGGAAUUACUGGGCGUAAAGCGCGCGUAGGCGGGUUGGUAAGUCGAUUGUGAAAGCCCUGGGCUCAACCUAGGAAUUGCAGUUGAAACUACCGAUCUUGAGUGCCUGAGAGGAUGGCGGAAUUGCCGGUGUAGUAGUGAAAUACGUAGAUAUCGGCAAGAACACCUGAGGCGAAGGCGGCUAUCUGGCGGUGCACUGACGCUAAGGCGCGAAAGCGUGGGGAGCAAACAGG
rnacentral:rRNA from 1 species